rnacentral:rRNA from 1 species
UUGCAGAAACUUAUAUACAGGUGCUGCACGGCUGUCGUCAGCUCGUGUCGUGAGAUGUUGGGUUAAGUCCCGCAACGAGCGCAACCGUCGUCAUUAGUUGCUAACAGUUCGGCUGAGAACUUUAAUGAGACUGCCUACGCAAGUAGGAGGAAGGUGAGGACGACGUCAAGUCAUCAUGGCCCUUACGUCCAGGGCUACACACGUGCUACAAUGGGGUAUACAAAGAGCAGCAAUACAGUGAUGUGGAGCAAAUCUCAAAAAUAUCUCCCAGUUCGGAUUGUAGUCUGCAACUCGACUACAUGAAGUUGGAAUCGCUAGUAAUCGUAGAUCAGCUAUGCUACGGUGAAUACGUUCCCGGGUCUUGUACUCACCGCCCGUCACACCAUGGGAGUUGAACUCAUUCGAAGCGGGGAUGCUAAAGUAGCUACCUUCCACAGUGGAUUCAGCGACUGGGGUGAAGUCGUAACAAGGUAACCA